rnacentral:rRNA from 1 species
UGGGGAAUCUUGCGCAAUGGGCGAAAGCCUGACGCAGCGACGCCGCGUGAGUGAUGAAGGCCUUCGGGUUGUAAAGCUCUGUGGAGGGGGACGAAUAAGGUUUGGCUAAUAUCCAAGCUGAUGACGGUACCCUUUUAGCAAGCACCGGCUAACUCUGUGCCAGCAGCCGCGGUAAGACAGAGGGUGCAAACGUUGUUCGGAAUUACUGGGCGUAAAGCGCGUGUAGGCGGCCCGAAAAGUCGGAUGUGAAAGCCCUGGGCUUAACCUAGGAAGUGCAUUCGAAACUGUCGUGGCUUGAGUUCUGGAGAGGAAGGCGGAAUUCUCGGUGUAGAGGUGAAAUUCGUAGAUAUCGAGAGGAACACCGGUGGCGAAGGCGGCCUUCUGGACAGUGACUGACGCUGAGACGCGAAAGCGUGGGGAGCAAACAGGAUUAGAUACCCUGGUAGUCCACGCCGUAAACGAUGAGUGCUAGGUGUCGCGGGCUUUGACCCCUGCGGUCG